rnacentral:lncRNA from 1 species
AUAAAAACUUAAAACACUUUAGACGUGAUAUACAUUGACAAGUUAUAAAAAUAAUAUAGGUCAUAAGUGUCGACUUUAAUUAACAAUAACCUAAGAGAGUCACACAUUGAUGUUGUAGUCUUGCGUCACUAUGUUAUGCCGAUUUGAUAACGUAGGAACCAUUAUUUAUAUUUUUAUUAAUACAUAUGACUUCUAAUUAAUGAACUAUAUUAAUUUUUAUGUUUAUAUAAAUUUAAACUAGAUAUCUGAAUUUUUAUUUUAAAAAUAUUUCAAUAGUGAUAGUCAAAGUUCAAAUUACUUUGGACAUGAUAAAUAUCGACACAAAAUGAAAAUUAUAUAGUUCAAAAAAAGUCGAUAUUGGUUAAACAUCAAUUCAAGAAAGUCGCACGUUAAUGUUAUGGUCUUGCGAUCCUACGUACUUUAAUUAUUAUAUUUGUUAAUUGGUGAAUUAAAAAUAUAAUUAUUAACUGGUGAAUCAUUAAUUAUAUUUGUUAUUAAUAUGAACUUUAACUACGUAAUUUUUUUUUAUAUAUUUAAAAAAAUCGAACAACAUAUUUAAAUAGUUUNNNNNNNNNNNNNNNNNNNNNNNNNNNNNNNNNNNNNNNNNNNNNUGUUAACUGGUGAAUUAAAAAUAUAAUUAUUAACUGGUGAAUCAUUAAUUCUAUUUGUUAUUAAUAUAAACUUUAACUACGUAAUUUUAUUUUUAUAUUUAAAAAAAUCGAACAACAUAUUUAAAUAGUUUUAAAAUAUAAUUAAGAAAUAUUUCUAUAACGAUUGUCUAAAUUCAAAAUUCUUUAGACAUGAUAGAUAUUAGCACAUUAUAAAAAUCAUAAAGUUCAUAAUUGUUGACCCUAGUAAACAUCAACCUAAAAUAAUCACUCAAUAUAAAUAUUAAGCUAACCAUUGUCAUAAUUUGUUAGCACUCUAAAUAAAAAUUAACUAUAUCCACACUUAGUUGUUUUCACAUUUCUUAAUAACCUGAAGUAGAAAUAUUGAUUAAUUAUAAUAUUUUGUUUGAAAUAAUUUACUGAGGUUACUUUUGCUAAAUUACCUUUUAUCUUGUGAAAAAUAAUUUUUUUUUUCACUUACACUAGACUUGUUG